GCUGGUAAAAUAGCUGAAGCAAACUUAGACACAAAUUCGGUUGACGUUAACUGUACUCAUUUUGCGUAAU